rnacentral:rRNA from 1 species
AAUUCGCCCUUUAAUUGUGGGCUAGAAUGAAAGGACAAACGAAAGAUUAGCUGUCUCAUAACUACAAAUAAAAAUUGACCUUCAGGUGAAGAGACCUGAAUUCAAAUAAAGGACAAGAAGACCCCGUAGAGCUCUGUCUUACACUAUACUCUAAUAAUAAUUAUUUUAUAAUUAAUUAAACCUGUAGUAAAGGCUUGGCUGGGGCGGCCAAGGAGAAACUUAUCCUCCAUUUUUAUCAACACUAGCUCUUCAAGGUUAAUUUACCAUAAUAUAAACUGACCCUUAUUUAGAUCAUAAAAAAAAGCUACCUCGGGGAUAACAGAUUAAUCCUUCUAGAGAGCUCACAUUGACAGAAGGGAUUGACACCUCGAUGUUGGCUUAGGAUAACCUAUAAACAGCAGCAAUUUAUAACGGUAGGUUUGUUCAACCUUUAAAAUCCUACGUGAU